CUAUUUGUUAUUUAUUAAAUAUCAGCAGUGGAAACCGACAUUAUCCUUCCCAGGAGACUUGAAAUCUAAAUUUAAAAAGGCAGACAUGACACAAAUAUAGCCACUCCAUUGGAAAUCUGGGUGGAGUGAUCUAUUUCUUCUUGCUUAGAAGAAUUACUCACAGACAUGAUGAUGGUGUUCUCCAGUAGACUAAUCAUAGCAAAUAUGAGGAAGAAGGACUUUGGGAACUCUAAAUAUAAAGUAUCGGGACUGGAAGUCACCUUUGAACACAGAACACAGAAUACUUGCUUGAUUUUUCUCCAGUUGGAAAUUAUUUUUCUUUCUUUGGAUAUCGCAUUGGAUUUUGCACCUUUUAAGUACUUCAUGUCGCAGUAUAGUAAAAUAUUGAUUCGGUAUGAUAAUAUCACAGCCCCUCCUGCUGACAUGCAUCUUGGUAUAGUGGAUAAAGC
rnacentral:lncRNA from 1 species